UAUUUUUGGCACCCCGAGGCCCCUCGCAAAGUCUCGCCCCAUUCCGAGUCCGGCGGACGAACUUCGCCCGCGCCCCCCACCAAGGCUAUAGCCCACAACCCGUUUUUUGGCCAUUUUUCCGCUGGGGGGUUUGGGCACCGCGACCUUCGGGCGCUUAUUUUUGGGCGCGGCUUUGCCCGCGGCUUAUUUUUGGCACCCCGAGGCCCCUCGCAAAGUCUCGCCCCAUUCCGAGUCCGGCGGACGAACUUCGCCCGCGCCCCCCACCAAGGCUAUAGCCCACGACCCGUUUUUUGGCCAUUUUUCCGCUGGGGGGUUUUGGCACCACGACCUUCGGGCGCUUAUUUUUGGGCGCGGCUUUGCCCGCGGCUUAUUUUUGGCACCCCGAGGCCCCUCGCAAAGUCUCGCCGCAUUCCGAGUCCGGCGGACGAACUUCGCCCGCGCCCCCCACCAAGGCUAUAGCCCACGACCCGUUUUUUGGCCAUUUUUCCGCUGGGGGGUUUUGGCACAACGACCUUCGGGCGCUUAUUUUUGGGCGCGGCUUUGCCCGCGGCUUAUUUUUGGCACCCCGAGGCCCCUCGCAAAGUCUCGUCCCAUUCCGAGUCCGGCGGACGAACUUCGCCCGCGCCCCCCACCAAGGCUAUAGCCCACGACCCGUUUUUUGGGCAUUUUUCCGCUGGGGGGUUUUGGCACCACGGCCUUCGGGCGCUUAUUUUUGGGCGCGGCUUUGCCCGCGGCUUAUUUUUGGCACCCCAAGGCCCCUCGCAAAGUCUCGCCCCAUUCCGAGUCCGGCGGACGAACUUCGCCCGCGCCCCCCACCAAGGCUAUAGCCCACGACCCGUUUUUUGGCCAUUUUUCCACUGGGGGGUUUUGGCACCGCGACCUUCGGGCGCUUAUUUUUUGGCGCGGCUUUGCCCACGGCUUAUUUUUGGCACCCCGAGGCCCCUCGCAAAGUCUCACCCCAUUCCGAGUCCGGCGGACGAACUUCGCCCGCGCCCCCCACCAAGGCUAUAGCCCACGACCCGUUUUUUGGCCAUUUUUCCGCUGGGGGGUUUUGGCACCACGACCUUCUGGCGCUUAUUUUUGGGCGCGGCUUUGUCCGCGGCUUAUUUUUGGCACCCCGAGGCCCCUCGCAAAGUCUCGCCCCAUUCCGAGUCCGGCGGACGAACUUCGCCUGCGCCCCCCACCAAGGCUAUAGCCCACAACCCGUUUUUUGGCCAUUUUUCCGCUGGGGGGUUUUGGCACCGCGACCUUCGGACGCUUAUUUUUGGGCGCGGCUUUGCCCGCGGCUUAUUUUUGGCACCCCGAGGCCCCUCGCAAAGUCUCGCCCCAUUCCGAGUCCGGCGUACGAACUUCGCCCGCGCCCCCCACCAAGGCUAUAGCCCACGACCCGUUUUUUGGCCAUUUUUCCGCUGGGGGGUUUUGGCACCACGACCUUCGGGCGCUUAUUUUUGGGCGCGGCUUUGCCCGCGGCUUAUUUUUGGCACCCCGAGGCCCCUCACAAAGUCUCGCCCCAUUCCGAGUCCGGCGGACAAACUUCGCCCGCGCCCCCCACCAAGGCUAUAGCCCACCCGUUUUUUGGCCAUUUUUCCGCUGGGGGGUGUUGGCACCAUGACCUUCGGGCGCUUAUUUUUGGGCGCGGGUUUGCCCGCGGCUUAUUUUUGGCACCCCGAGGACCCUCGCAAAGUCUCGCCCCAUUCCGAGUCCGGCGUACAAACUUCGCCCGCGCCCCCCACCAAGGCUAUAGCCCACGACCCGUUUUUUGGCCAUUUUUCCGCUGGGGGGUUUUGGCACCACUACCUUCGGGCGCUUAUUUUUGGGCGCGGCUUUGCCCGCGGCUUAUUUUUGGCACCCCGAGGCCCCUCGCUAAGUCUCGCCCCAUUCCGAGUCCGGUGGACGAACUUCGCCCGCGCCCCCCACCAAGGCUAUAGCCCACGACACGUUUUUUGGCCAUUUUUCCGCUGGGGUGUUUUGGCACCACGACCUUCGGGCGCUUAUUUUUGGGCGCGGCCUUGCCCGCGGCUUAUUUUUGCCACCCCGAGGCCCCUCGCAAAGUCUCGCCCCAUUCCGAGUCCGGCGGACGAACUUCGACCGCGCCCCCCACCAAGGCUAUAGCCCACGACCUGUUUUUUCGCCAUUUUUCCGCUGGGGGGUUUUGGCACCACGGCCUUCGGGCGCUUAUUUUUGGGCGCGGCUUUGCCCGCGGCUUAUUUUUGUCACCCCGAGACCCCUCGCAAAGUCUCGUCCAUUCCGAGUCCGGCGGACGAACUUCGCCCGCGCCCCCCACCAAGGCUAUAGCCCACAACCCGUUUUUUGGCCAUAUUUCCACUGGGGAGUUUUGGCACCGCGACCUUCGGGCCCUGAUUUUUGGGCGCGGCUUUGCCCGCGGCUUAUUUUUGGCACCCCGAGGCCCCUCGCAAAGUCUCGCCCCAUUCCGAGUCCGGCGUACGAACUUCGCCCGCGCCCCCCACCAAGGCUAUAGCCCACGACCCGUUUUUUGGCCAUUUUUCCGCUGGGGGGUUUUGGCACCACGACCUUCGGGCGCGGCUUUGCCCGCGGCUUAUUUUUGGCACCCCGAGGCCCCUCGCAAAGUCUCGCCCAUUCCGAGUCCGGCGGACGAACUUCGCCCGCGCCCCCCACCAAGUCUAUAGCCCACAACCCGUUUUUUGGCCAUUUUUCCACUGGGGAGUUUUGGCACCGCGACAUUCGGGCCCUGAUUUUUGGGCGCGGCUUUGCCCGCGGCUUAUUUUUGGCACCCCGAGGCCCCUCGCAAAGUCUCGCCCCAUUCCGAGUCCGGCGUACGAACUUCGCCCGCGCCCCCCACCAAGGCUAUAGCCCACGACCCGUUUUUUGGCCAUUUUUCCGCUGGGGGGUUUUGGCACCGCGACCUUCGGGCCCUUAUUUUUGGGCGCGGCUUUGCCCGCGGCUUAUUUUUGGCACCCCGAGGCCCCUCGCAAAGUCUCGCCCCAUUCCGAGUCCGGCGGACGAACUUCGCCCGCGCCCCCCACCAAGGCUAUAGCCCACGACCCGUUUUUUGGCCAUUUUUCCACUGGGGGGUUUUGGCACCGCGACCUUCGGGCGCUUAUUUUUUGGCGCGCUUUUGCCCACGGCUUAUUUUUGGCACCCCGAGGCCCCUCGCAAAGUCUCACCCCAUUCCGAGUCCGGCGGACGAACUUCGCCCGCGCCCCCCACCAAGGCUAUAGCCCACGACUCGUUUUUUGGCCAUUUUUCCGCUGGGGGGUUUUGGCACCACGGCCUUCGGGCGCUUAUUUUUGGGCGCGGCUUUGCCCGCGGCUUAUUUUUGGCACCCCGAGGCCCCUCGCAAAGUCUCGACCCAUUCCGAGUCUGGCGGACGAACUUCGCCCGCGCCCCCCACCAAGGCUAUAGCCCACAACCCGUUUUUUGACCAUUUUUCCGCUGGGGGGUUUGGGCACCGCGACCUUCGGGCGCUUAUUUUUGGGCGCGGCUUUGCCCGCGGCUUAUUUUUGGCACCCCGAGGCCCCUCGCAAAGUCUCGCCGCAUUCCGAGUCCGGCGGACGAACUUCGCCCGCGCCCCCCACCAAGGCUAUAGCCCACGACCCGUUUUUUGGCCAUUUUUCCGCUGGGGGGUUUUGGCACAACGACCUUCGGGCGCUUAUUUUUGGGCGCGGCUUUGCCCGCGGCUUAUUUUCGGCACCCCGAGGCCCCUCGCAAAGUCUCGUCCCAUUCCGAGUCCGGCGGACGAACUUCGCCCGCGCCCCCCACCAAGGCUAUAGCCCACAACCCGUUUUUUGGCCAUUUUUCCGCUGGGGGGUUUUGGCACCGCGACCUUCGGGCGCUUAUUUUUGGGCGCGGCUUUGCCCGCGGCUUAUUUUUGGCACCCCGAGGCCCCUCGCAAAGUCUCGUCCCAUUCCGAGUCCGGCGGACGAACUUCGCCCGCGCCCCCCACCAAGGCUAUAGCCCACGACCCGUUUUUUGGCCAUUUUUCCGCUGGGGGGUUUUGGCACCACGGCCUUCGGGCGCUUAUUUUUGGGCGCGGCUUUGCCCGCGGCUUAUUUUUGUCACCCCGAGGCCCCUCGCAAAGUCUCGCCCCAUUCCGAGUCCGGCGGAUGAACUUCGCCCGCGCCCCCCACCAAGGCUAUAGCCCACGACCCGUUUUUUGGCCAUUUUUCCACUGGGGGGUUUUGGCACCGCGACCUUCGGGCGCUUAUUUUUUGGCGCGGCUUUGCCCACGGCUUAUUUUUGGCACCCCGAGGCCCCUCGCAAAGUCUCACCCCAUUCCGAGUCCGGCGGACGAACUUCGCCCGCGCCCCCCACCAAGGCUAUAGCCCACGACUCGUUUUUUGGCCAUUUUUCCGCUGGGGGGUUUUGGCACCACGGCCUUCGGGCGCUUAUUUUUGGGCGCGGCUUUGCCCGCGGCUUAUUUUUGGCACCCCGAGGCCCCUCGCAAAGUCUCGACCCAUUCCGAGUCUGGCGGACGAACUUCGCCCGCGCCCCCCACCAAGGCUAUAGCCCACAACCCGUUUUUUGACCAUUUUUCCGCUGGGGGGUUUGGGCACCGCGACCUUCGGGCGCUUAUUUUUGGGCGCGGCUUUGCCCGCGGCUUAUUUUUGGCACCCCGAGGCCCCUCGCAAAGUCUCGCCGCAUUCCGAGUCCGGCGGACGAACUUCGCCCGCGCCCCCCACCAAGGCUAUAGCCCACGACCCGUUUUUUGGCCAUUUUUCCGCUGGGGGGUUUUGGCACAACGACCUUCGGGCGCUUAUUUUUGGGCGCGGCUUUGCCCGCGGCUUAUUUUUGGCACCCCGAGGCCCCUCGCAAAGUCUCGUCCCAUUCCGAGUCCGGCGGACGAACUUCGCCCGCGCCCCCCACCAAGGCUAUAGCCCACGACCCGUUUUUUUGGCCAUUUUUCCGCUGGGGGGUUUUGGCACCACGGCCUUCGGGGCGCUUAUUUUUGGGCGCGGCUUUGCCCGCGGCUUAUUUUUGGCACCCCGAGGCCCCUCGCAAAGUCUCGCCCCAUUCCGAGUCCGGCGGACGAACUUCGCCCGCGCCCCCCACCAAGGCUAUAGCCCACGACCCGUUUUUUGGCCAUUUUUCCACUGGGGGGUUUUGGCACCGCGACCUUCGGGCGCUUAUUUUUGGGCGCGGCUUUGCCCCCGGCUUAUUUUUGGCACCCCGAGGCCCCUCGCAAAGUCUCACCCCAUUCCGAGUCCGGCGGACGAACUUCGCCCGCGCCCCCCACCAAGGCUAUAGCCCACGACCCGUUUUUUGGCCAUUUUUCCGCUGGGGGGUUUUGGCACCACGGCCUUCGGGCGCUUAUUUUUGGGCGCGGCUUUGCCCGCGGCUUAUUUUUGGCACCCCGAGGCCCCUCGCAAAGUCUCGACCCAUUCCGAGUCUGGCGGACGAACUUCGCCCGCGCCCCCCACCAAGGCUAUAGCCCACAACCCGUUUUUUGACCAUUUUUCCGCUGGGGGGUUUGGGCACCGCGACCUUCGGGCGCUUAUUUUUGGGCGCGGCUUUGCCCGCGGCUUAUUUUUGGCACCCCGAGGCCCCUCGCAAAGUCUCGCCGCAUUCCGAGUCCGGCGGACGAACUUCGCCCGCGCCCCCCACCAAGGCUAUAGCCCACGACCCGUUUUUUGGCCAUUUUUCCGCUGGGGGGUUUUGGCACAACGACCUUCGGGCGCUUAUUUUUGGGCGCGGCUUUGCCCGCGGCUUAUUUUUGGCACCCCGAGGCCCCUCGCCAAAGUCUCGUCCCAUUCCGAGUCCGGCGGACGAACUUCGACCGCGGCCCCCACCAAGGCUAUAGCCCACGACCCGUUUUUUGGCCAUUUUUCCGCUGGGUGGUUUUGGCACCACGGCCUUCGGGCGCUUAUUUUUGGGCGCGGCUUUGCCCGCGGCUUAUUUUUGUCACCCCGAGGCCCCUCGCAAAGUCUCGCCCAUUCCGAGUCCGGCGGACGAACUUCGCCCGCGCCCCCCACCAAGGCUAUAGCCCACAACCCGUUUUUUGGCCAUUUUUCCACUGGGGAGUUUUGGCACCGCGACCUUCGGGCCCUGAUUUUUGGGCGCGGCUUUGCCCGCGGCUUAUUUUUGGCACCCCGAGGCCCCUCGCAAAGUCUCGCCCCAUUCCGAGUCCGGCGUACGAACUUCGCCCGCGCCCCCCACCAAGGCUAUAGCCCACGACCCGUUUUUUGGCAAUUUUUCCGCUGGGGGGUUUUGGCACCACGACCUUCGGGCGCUUAUUUUUGGGCGCGGCUUUGCCCCCGGCUUAUUUUUGGCACCCCGAGGCCCCUCACAAAGUCUCGCCCCAUUCCGAGUCCGGCGGACGAACUUCGCCCGCGCCCCCCACCAAGGCUAUAGCCCACCCGUUUUUUGGCCAUUUUUCCGCUGGGGGGUGUUGGCACCACGACCUUCGGGCGCUUAUUUUUGGGCGCGGGUUUGCCCGCGGCUUAUUUUUGGCACCCCGAUGCCCCUCGCAAAGUCUCGCCCCAUUCCGAGUCCGGCGUACGAACUUCGCCCGCGCCCCCCACCAAGGCUAUAGCCCACGACCCGUUUUUUGGCCAUUUUUCCGCUGGGGGGUUUUGGCACCACGGCCUUCGGGCGCUUAUUUUUGGGCGCGGCUUUGCCCGCGGCUUAUUUUUGGCACCCCGAGGCCCCUCGCAAAGUCUCGACCCAUUCCGAGUCCGGCGGACGAACUUCGCCCGCGCCCCCCACCAAGGCUAUUGCCCACAACCCGUUUUUUGACCAUUUUUCCGCUGGGGGGUUUGGGCACCGCGACCUUCGGGCGCUUAUUUUUGGGCGCGGCUUUGCCCGCGGCUUAUUUUUGGCACCCCGAGGCCCCUCGCAAAGUCUCGCCCCAUUCCGAGUCCGGCGGACGAACUUCGCCCGCGCCCCCCACCAAGGCUAUAGCCCACGACCCGUUUUUUGGCCAUUUUUCCGCUGGGGGGUUUUGGCACCACGACCUUCGGGCGCUUAUUUUUGGGCGCGGCUUUGCCCGCGGCUUAUUUUUGGCACCCCGAGGCCCCUCACAAAGUCUCGCCCCAUUCCGAGUCCGGCGGACAAACUUCGCCCGCGCCCCCCACCAAGGCUAUAGCCCACCACCUUUUUGGUCGUUUUUCCUGGAGGGAGGUGAGAUCGCGACCUCUAUAGCGCUUAUUUUUGGGCGUGGGUUUGCCCGCGGCUUAUUUUUGGCACCCCGAGGACCCUCGCAAAGUCUCGCCCCAUUCCGAGUCCGGCGUACAAACUUCGCCCGCGCCCCCCACCAAGGCUAUAGCCCACGACCCGUUUUUUGGCCAUUUUUCCGCUGGGGGGUUUUGGCACCACUACCUUCGGGCGCUUAUUUUUGGGCGCGGCUUUGCCCGCGGCUUAUUUUUGGCACCCCAAGGCCCCUCGCUAAGUCUCGCCCCAUUCCGAGUCCGGUGGACGAACUUCGCCCGCGCCCCCCACCAAGGCUAUAGCCCACGACACGUUUUUUGGCCAUUUUUCCGCUGGGGUGUUUUGGCACCACGACCUUCGGGCGCUUAUUUUUGGGCGCGGCUUUGCCCGCGGCUUAUUUUUGGCACCCCGAGGCCCCUCGCAAAGUCUCGCCCCAUUCCGAGUCCGGCGGACGAACUUCGCCCGCGCCCCCCACCAAGGCUAUAGCCCACGACCCGUUUUUUGGCCAUUUUUCCGCUGGGGGGUUUUGGCACCACGACCUUCGGGCGCUUAUUUUUGGGCGCGGCUUUGCCCGCGGCUUAUUUUUGGCACCCCGAGGCCCCCUCGCAAAGUCUCGCCCCAUUCCGAGUCCGGCGGACGAACUUCGCCCGCGCCCCCCACCAAGGCUAUAGCCCACCCGUUUUUUGGCCAUUUUUCCGCUGGGGGGUUUUGGCACCACGACCUUCGGGCGCUUAUUUUUUGGCGCGGCUUUGCCCGCGGCUUAUUUUUGGCACCCCGAGGCCCCUCGCAAAGUCUCGCCCCAUUCUGAGUCCGGCGGACGAACUUCGCCCGCGCCCCCCACCAAGGCUAUAGCCCACGACCCGUUUUUUGGCCUUUUUUCUGCUGGGGGGUUUUGGCACCACGGCCUUCGGGCGCUUAUUUUUGGGAGCGGCUUUGCCCGCGGCUUAUUUUUGUCACCCCGAGGCCCCUCGCAAAGUCUCGCCCCAUUCCGAGUCCGGCGGACGAACUUCGCCCGCGCCCCCCACCAAGGCUAUAGUCCACAACCCGUUUUUUGGCCAUUUUUCCACUGGGGGGUUUUGGCACCGCGACCUUCGGGCGCUUAUUUUUGGGCGCGGCUUUGCCCGCGGCUUAUUUUUGGCACCCCGAGGCCCCUCACAAAGUCUCGCCCCAUUCCGAGUCCGGCGGACGAACUUCGCCCGCGCCCCCCACCAAAGCUAUAGCCCACGACCCGUUUUUUGGCCAUUUUUCCGCUGGGGGAUUUCGGCACCACGACCUUCUGGCGCUUAUUUUUGGGCUCGGCUUUGGCCGCGGCUUAUUUUUGGCACCCCGAGGCCCCUCGCAAAGUCUCGCCCCAUUCCGAGUCCGGCGGACGAACUUCGCCCGCGCCCCCCACCAAGGCUAUAGCCCACAACCCGUUUUUUGGCCAUUUUUCCACUGGGGGGUUUUGGCACCGCGACCUUCGGGCGCUUAUUUUUGGGCGCGGCUUUGCCCGCGGCUUAUUUUUGGCACCCCGAGGCCCCUCACAAAGUCUCGCCCCAUUCCGAGUCCGGCGGACGAACUUCGCCCGCGCCCCCCACAAAGGCUAUAGCCCACGACCCGUUUUUUGGCCUUUUUUCCGCUGGGGGGUUUUGGCACCACGGCCUUCGGGCGCUUAUUUUUGGGCGCGGCUUUGCCCGCGGCUUAUUUUUGUCACCCCGAGGCCCCUCGCAAAGUCUCGCCCCAUUCCGAGUCCGGCGGACGAACUUCGCCCGCGCCCCCCACCAAGGCUAUAGCCCACAACCCGUUUUUUGGCCAUUUUUCCACUGGGGGGUUUUGGCACCGCGACCUUCGGGCGCUUAUUUUUGGGCGCGGCUUUGCCCACGGCUUAUUUUUGGCACCCCGAGGCCCCUCACAAAGUCUCGCCCCAUUCCGAGUCCGGCGGACGAACUUCGCCCGCGCCCCCCACCAAAGCUAUAGCCCACGACCCGUUUUUUGGCCAUUUUUCCGCUGGGGGGUUUUGGCACCACGACCUUCUGGCGCUUAUUUUUGGGCUCGGCUUUGCCCGCGGCUUAUUUUUGGCACCCCGAGGCCCCUCGCAAAGUCUCGCCCCAUUCCGAGUCCGGCGGACGAACUUCGCCCGCGCCCCCCACCAAGGCUAUAGCCCACAACCCGUUUUUUGGCCAUUUUUCCGCUGGGGGGUUUUGGCACCGCGACCUUCGGACGCUUAUUUUUGGGCGCGGCUUUGCCCGCGGCUUAUUUUUGGCACCCCUAGGCCCCUCGCAAAGGCUCGCCCCAUUCCGAGUCCGGGGGACAAACUUCGCCC
rnacentral:lncRNA from 1 species